rnacentral:lncRNA from 1 species
GGAAUCGGUAUCAUUGCGAGGCGGCCAGUUAUCCUCAACAGUGACUUGGAUACUCAGUUGAUUCCUAGGGUUGAGUUCAUUAGGAAUCUCAGCGGGGAAGACGACUUCGCCACUGGAACCGUGCUACGUAGACUACCUGCUAUACUGAGUUACAGCGUUGACCAUAUGAACAGCCACGUUGAGUUCCUCAAGUCUUUUGCUGGCUUGACGAGCGAGCAAGUGUUUAAGAUUGUUCAUGUGUUCCCUAACGUGAUCAGCACUAGUAAAGAGAGGAAACUGAGGCCGAGGAUAGAGUUCCUUAAACAGUCUGGGUUUGAUUCCCCCGGCAUGUUCAAGUUCUUGAGUAAAGCGCCGUUGUUUCUAGCUCUAUCAGAAGACAACCUCUCGCAUAAACUAGGGUUUCUGGUGAAGAUUGGAUACAAGCAUAGAACAAGGGAGCUGGCGUUUGCGAUGGGGGCUGUGACCAGAACUAGCUCUGACAAUAUGCAGAGGGUGAUUGGACUGUACUUGAGUUACGGUCUUUCGCUUGAAGACAUUCUAGCUAUGAGCACAAAGCAUCCUCAAGUCCUGCAGUAUAGUCUUACUUCUUUAGAGGAGAAACUGGAGUAUUUGAUCGAGUACAUGGGUCGUGAAGUGGAGGAGCUUUUGGCUUUCCCUGCGUUUCUUGGGUACAAGCUUGAUAGCAGGAUCAAGCACCGGUAUGAAGAAAAGCUGAAGAGCAGAGGUGAAAACAUGUCUCUUAACAAGCUUUUGACAGUCUCAGCUGAAAGAUUCUCUAAGACAGCGGAUAAUAUUGAAGUGAUUUGCUUGUGAUUUGAGUGACAAAAGAUUUUAGUGAACCGAGUUUGAGGUCAUUGAAAACUUACAAUAGUUUAAAAAGCUGAGAGUUUAUAUAUCACAAUUUCUCACUUGGAUAUCAAACAUUCAUUCCUUUACUUGCCUUGAUUUUAAUAUAGUGUAGCUAAGCUUUUUUAUGUAUAUGUUCCUUAAAUGUUCUUUGCUCAGAGGUUGGUUAGUGUAUCAGUUAAUGAAUUGGUGAACAAUGCAAACAAAUCUUUCACUACCUUUUAUUAAUAUGAAAAUUCUUGUUGUGUUUUGUUUUGUUCUCAUGCUUCAACUCUGUUACUAUACUUUUGCUAAACCAGAUGAUUUCUACAAAAUUUGUUAAUUAAUUAGGACUAUUUUGUGUAACUUUGAGUUUUGACACAUAUAGAUAGGCGUUAAAUACCUCCUGGGCCUUCACCCAUCUAUGGUCUUACAAAAGUAUUGUUUUUCAUCUGGAUUAGCAUCCCACAUCGCUGCUUUGGCGAAGAAACUCGUAGUAUAUGUUAGGCUGAACGAGCGAUGAUGGUCACGACCUUACUUGAACAGGAUCUGUUCUAUAGGCCGUACCUCUGUGUUCUUGAUCUCUAAAGAGACAAGCCCUUAACCCUGGUUGAUGGUUCAUGGCCGUGCGAUUAGAGCGUGAUUAACUGCUGCGACCAUCGUAGGAUGUGUUCGGUGCUGUAGAGGAUCGUUACUCGGCUCGAUUCUAUCCUUGCCGGGGUGGUUGCACGGCAGUCUGACAGGCUAUCCUUUUUGCUGUGUUUUUUUGUUCUUGCUAAGUUAGGUAAGUACGUUGGACACGAAAAGAUAUGCUGUCUAUACGUUUUUAUAUACUUCUUCAAACUCUUUCAAUUUCUUGCAAAUGUUCAGUUUUUUUUGCAGUAGUCCUUCAUGUUGUUUUGCGUUUAACAAAGACUUCUCUGCUCUGUGAUUUGUUGCUAAGGUUUAAAGUCAUAUUUGACUCUGUAUGUUAUAUAUAACCAGAAUCUAAACAAACCAACCAUCCAUAUAUGCAUGUCUUAUUGUGAAUAAAGAAACUCUUGAAUAUUGGAGAUAGAAGAAUAAGCUUACUGGAGCGAACCCUGGUUCGAAACCGCUGGCCACACGGAUAUGAGCUAUUGCUUUCGGCUCAUUUGAAUGCCCAGGAGAGGGUCUAUCCGUGGGCUGUACCUCCACCCGGGGGUUAGGUCUGUGUCUUUAAUAGACCCGGGUUUAACCCUUUUCAUUUACAAAAAAAAAAAAAAAAUAUAACAUUUUUUUUUUAAUUAUCUAUUUUUUUCAAAAUUAUUAAACACGAACUAAGAUAAUCUUUGAUUAAAUUCAAAAUUUAUGUCUAGAAGUUAAUUUUUUCAAAUAGCUAUUUUGUCAAAAUUAAUUGUAAGUUUAUUUUGACAAACAAAAACUAAGAUAAUUUUGAAUAACGUCAAAGUUAUGCAUAGUUAAAUAUUUAAAAUUAUAUUUAGAUUCAUAAAUCAGCAUAUAUAGGCAACUAAUCAAGUUUUCCGAUUGAAUUUUAUUUAAAUUUAAAAACUAUACAGUAUAAUAAUUGCUUAGUGUUAUCCCCAUAUGCACUAUCAUAAAAAGAUCGCAUAGCUCAGUGUAUAAGAAAAUUGCCAAUUUAACUUAGGAUAAGAGUUAGCAAAUUUUGUAUAAAUAUCUAUAUUUUAUCAAAAUUAAUUGUAAACUAAUUAUUUAAAUAACACAAGCUAAGAUCAUUUUGAUUAAGAUUUAAAAUUUAUGUAUUCUAAAUUAUUUUUAAAUAUAAUUAGAUUGAUAAAUCAAAAUUAUGUUUUAAACAAUUUAAUUUAAAAGUUUUAAUGUUGCGCAUGACACAUGAAAUUACCUAUUUGUAAAUCAUUAGAAAAUAAAAUAAGAAGGGCGAAUUCGAGGCAUAAGACACAAAAACAACAAAUAUAAAUCUGAGUGUUUGGUCUAAAUGCAAAUCUUGAAACAACGAGAACCGGGAACAACAAACAAUUGGAGUACUUCCUUUCAUUUAUGUUCCUACAUUUCAGUUAGUGUGACCAUAAUAGCUUUCCAGUUCCCAAGUCCAUGACAUUGCAGUUGUUUUCUAACCCGCUAGAAUCACAAUAGCCAAUUAAGAUCCAACUCAACUCCUUCAAAGUAUUUCACAUCAUAAUGUAAUGCUGCUUACUAGGGGUGGGCGUUCGGGUAUCCAUUCGGGUUCGGUUCGGGUUUAUUCGGGUUUCGGGUUUUCGGGGUUAAAGAUUUUAGCUCCAUUCGGGUAUUUCUAAAUUUCGGUUCGGGUUCGGUUCGGAUCUUUGCGGGUUCGGUUCGGGUUCGGAUAACCCAUUUAAAUGAUUUUUAAAAUUUUAAAAUUCAAUGUAUAGUUUCAAUUUCUCAAAAUCUGUAAAUAAAAUACUAUAUAACAUAUAAACUUGAAUAACAUAUGUCAGAGUACCUAAACUUAACAUAUAAAUUGGUUUGUUUGAAUAUUUUGAUAGACAAUCAGUAGACAUUUCAACUAUUUUUGGUGUUUUGAGUAUAUUUUAUACUAUUUUAGAAAUUUACUUUUGAAUAUUUGUAUAUAUUUUCAAGUAUUUUAGACAACUUAAAAGUAUCUUAUAUAUUUUGAAUGUUUUUAAUAUACAUUGAAUCUAAAAAUAAUUAAUAUAUUUAGAUAUAUAAAUCUAUUUCGGAUACAUUCGGGUACCCGAAAUACUUCGGUUCGGGUCGGGUUCGGUUUCGGUUCUCUGGAUACAAUGUAAACGGUUCCUUUUAAUAUGAAUAAUAUUCUAAUAAUUUUUAUUUAUGUGGAAGCCAAAAGGGUAUCUUAAAAAGAUUAAAAAAUUUUGUUGGAUAAAUAUAAAAAGAAAGAAAAAUCACGAGAGAGGCGGUGAGAGAAAGACGACAGAGGAAGGGAUAACGAGUGGUGAGAAGAAACUGGAAUAAACUUAUGGUUUAUAAUAAUAAUAAAGUAUUGGACUUUUCAUGUCAAGCUUAAAACAGCCAUUGAAAGGCCAUUGCUUUUUAGAGGAGGAGGAGGAGAGGGGAGAAUUAAGAAUGGUGGACGGAGAGUGUGAAACGACGACUACCGUCCAUCUCAGACCAAUUCUGUAAUAUUUUUCCUCUUUUAGGGUUUAUUUUUCUUUCCACGAUUAAAUCGUGCGGUUUAUUAUUUAGCGACAUUUAUAUCGAUGUUUUCAAAAACCGGAUAGGGAACCAAACCGAACAAUUUCCCCAGUCCAUAGUUCAGUAUCGUCUCAUCUUACAAAUUUUUUUUAUUUUUUUUAAUAUAAUAAAUAUUAAAUUUAUAAUUAGAAUACGAAUAUAUAUAUAUACAACAUAUAAUCAUUGUAAAUAUAAACAUUAAUUUAAUAAAAAUAACGUUUAAUAUGACACAAUUUAUUUUAAAUAAAAUAAAAUAUAUAUAAUAAACAUUGAAGAUAACAAAAUUAUAUAAUGACGGUAGCAAAACUUAAUAAAUAUUGUAGUUUCUCAUAAUUUUGAAAAUAUAAACUAUAGUUUUAGUUUUAUUAAAUUAUAAGAUUAGUCAAUUUUAACGAAAAUUUGAAAAAUUAAAUGUGAAUACAUUUAAAGUUUAAAGACAUUUAUUGAAUCUGAAUAAAUUUACUUAUUUUGUCCAGUUUUGAGCUUCUGACUGUUUUAAUGGGGUUUUUAAUAAUCUGAAUUGGAAUGGACGAGAUCAAUUGACUAAUUUUUUGGGAUCGGUUUAUCGGUGUCAAAUAAACCGAAUUGCUCAUAAUGAGAAUUAGAUAUUUAUGUCGCAUGAUUAAACGGAUAAAUCUGAGUUUAGUCCGAAUCAUAUAUUUAGUUCAUAGUUGAAUUUGGUCUAAUUGCCAUGUUGGUCUGCUUUAAAAACACUGAUUUUACCGUAACGCUGUGUAAAUUGUGUAAAUUUUGACCUGACUACGGAAUUGUAUAAAAUUUGACUUUUUGGAAGACUUGACUAUGGAAUUUUGUUCACUACUCGGCAUUAACUCAUCCACGUUAACGAAAUUUCCUACACACUGUAUUAAUAGAAGAAAGAAAAAAUGUUGGUGGGUCUUCCAUAUUUAACUGUUGAUUUUCCCAUGUUUCAUUAAAAUAUUUUUCUCUUGACAACAAAAUAUUUUUUUCUAAGAAGGUUUUUCUAUUGUUCAACUUUGCUUCAGAAUUCUUUGACUAGCGUACUUUAAAAGUCAACUAUUCAAACUGGAGCUGGUUUAUGAGAGAUGCCCCAUCAAAAUGGUAACAAACAAAUAUUUGACCUAUCAGCCGAAAUAUGAGUUUUCUGUGGCGUAUUUGUCUGCCAAAUCUUUAUAAAUAACUUCAUAGACUCAGUUUGCUGUUUUAGUAUUAAUAAAAAUUAUUUUGACGGAAAAAAUUAUGAGCAGAAGAAGGGUGUUCAUAGACUUAUAAAAAAAACUGUAGAAUGAAUAAAUUUGUAAAUCAAAUUUUUAUCUCCUUUGUAUUCUGUAUCAUUGGUUAGUUAGUAACCUAUGUAAGUAAUUUUCUUUUAAUCAAUAAAAUCUUGCUGAUAAAAAUCCUUAUAUAGUUCAUUUUUCUGCACCUAUUUCAUUUUUUUCCGGGUAAAGAUCAUAAACUAAAAACAAUUUAAGGCAGAUUUUAAAAAAAAAACAAUUUAGCGGUGAUAAACUGAUAACUUAAGCUAAUCAUUUUGGACUUGUUGUCCCAAGCCCAAUACUAUUAAUUUCUCACCAAGGCCCUAUAUUAAUUACAAAAGUGGAUGUCAAAGCUUCAAUCAAAACCAAGCUGGAAUCCAAUACGACCGUUGAAUGUGGAUGUGAAUCCCAAAUCAGAAACCACCGUUUUUGGAUAUCGCCAUGGUCAUCUUAUCCCUCGUCUCUUGCUCUGUUUCCCUCUUCUCACCUCCCAUUAGUCUCCGGCUUCGUUUCCCCCCUGUUACAUCUCUCUUUUCCCAUGUAAGCUUCCCUGCUUCUACAUUUAAGCCUGAGCUACGGCCGUUGUUUGUCUGCUGCUUACAACGUCGGGAGACCGCUCAUAUUCACCGAUGUAACUGCCUUACUUGUACGAUUGAUGGGGAAACUCAAAUAGGUAAGUUAAUUUUCGUACUUCAUAUGCGUUUCUCCCUCUGAAGCAUAUUCGCGAACACUUGGUGUGCGUCUUAUAAGUCUCACCUUCUUCUUUUCCAGGGUCUCUGUUUUCGCUUUUCCGAGAUAUUGGGUUUAAAGAGGAAGAAACGGAGAUGAUUCUGGCGAAGAACCCAGAUGUAAAGUCGACGCCUUUGGAUAAGAUCAGUGCUCGUGUCGCUUCUCUUCAGUCUCUGAAACUCGAUGGCUUCGCGCUUCAAGGUUUGAUUGCAAAGUGCCCUUCUUUAUUAACCUCAGAAGAGUUAGAUCUCGUUAUUACCUUCUUGGUUGGCGAGCUCGAAGGAAGGCUUGACCCUGAGCUAGUGGAACGCAUACUCGCUGUGUCAGACACUUCUUUCUUGCUUAGUUUCAACCAGAAGGUGAGGCUGCUUAUCCACCAUGGGAUACCUAAAGAAAAGAUCUCUUACGUGUUGAGCAAAGUGUACCUGAAUAAACUCAUGUAUCAGAAAUCUGUUGAAGACAUUGAGAGAUUGAUUAGUUACUUGGAACCUUUUGGUGGAAUCGGAAUCAUUGCGAGGCGGCCAGUUAUCCUCAACAGUGACUUGGAUACUCAGUUGAUUCCUAGGGUUGAGUUCAUUAGGAAUCUCAGCGGGGAAGAUGACUUCGCCACUGGAACCGUGCUACGUAGACUACCUGCUAUACUGAGUUACAGCGUUGACCAUAUGAACAGCCACGUUGAGUUCCUCAAGUCUUUUGCUGGCUUGACGAGCGAGCAAGUGUUUAAGAUUGUUCAUGUGUUCCCUAACGUGAUCAGCACUAGUAAAGAGAGGAAACUGAGGCCG